CUUAGGUUGGAGGGGACCUUAAAGAUCAUCGAGCUCCAAACCUCCUGCCAGAGGCAGGGUUGCCACCCAGCAGAUCAGGCUGUCCCGGAUUCCACCCAACCGGGCCUUGAAUGCCUCCAGAGAUUGGGCAUCCACAACGUCUCUGGGCAAUCAAGGCAAUCAGUAGCCUGAAAGCGCUGUAAACUGAUCCUGAUCGCUAUUAGGUGUUUAAUGGAAGGUGGCAAGCACCUGUAAGCACUAUGCUGAGUGCUGCUUGGUUCUGCCUUUUAGGAGAGGAAGGAAGUGCAUUCUUGUAAUUUGGGCUCUGGAUUCAGCUGAGAGGCAGGAGUACCAAUGUUUUCUUUUUAGAUCUGAGGAGAGCUACCUGAAGCAGUCCGUUCCAGUACCAUCUAAAGGGAAAGAUAGUACGUUGUUUCAACUGAGAACGGAAUUUACUUUGCUACCAGAAGUGCUUGAACAAUUUUUUGGUAACCUUCUUUGUCCUUGA
rnacentral:lncRNA from 1 species